rnacentral:rRNA from 1 species
ACCGGCAGCUCAAGUGGUGGCCAUUAUUAUUGGGCCUAAAGCGUUCGUAGCCGGUUUGAUAAGUCUCUGGUGAAAUCCCGCAGCUUAACUGUGGGACUUGCUGGAGAUACUAUCAGACUUGAGGUCGGGAGAGGUUAGGGGUACUCCCAGGGCAGGGGUGAAAACCUAUAAUCCUGGGAGGACCAACUGUGGCGAAGGCGCCUAACUAGAACGAACCUGACUGUGAGUAACGAAAUCCAGGGGCGCGAACCG